ensembl:lncRNA
UGCGUAUCCUGUCUCCACCCCAACUGCCGCUGGGUUUGAACUGCCGGCUGGACCACUCACCAGAAUGGGAGGCAGCCUCUGCUGCUGUGGUGAAGGUUGUUGCCCCGAUGAACCGGAAUCCACGCACAGAUUUAGAGCGCAUAUGCGCCGUGAUCCUGAUUUGCCCCCUGAAGGUCAGCUAUAUACAGACUACCACCAGGAGUGGCAGUGGCCCUCGGUGACUUCCUGGGACCUGAUCCGGGCAGCACACUCGACGUUCUCAGCAAUUCAGGAAUACAUGGCAAGAUAUUCUCUCUCGAAGAAACUCCGCAGGAAAACCAGAGAUGAAGAUGCCGCCCGAAAAGUGCAGGCAGAGGAACAGGCCGAGGAGAAAGAUUCCACCGAGGAUCUGAAGGUGGAACUUUCGAAGAAGAAAAAAACUCCAUGGAAAGUGAAGGAGGCCUGGAGAGAGCAGGAGAGUGUGACGGAGUCCAGUGUGGUGUCCGCAGAAGUGGCCCUAGCUCUUUGUGAGCAAACAGGAGUAGGACCUCCCAGGAAAGGACGUUUCAAGUUUCUUGCAGCAGAGCUUCCUAGCGAGAAGUCCACAGAGAAAGUCGUGGCCGUUGUCAAUAGGGACUCAGCGCUUUGGGCAAGCGGUCCCAUGGAGGGUCCCGUGGAAAAAUUCAUCUAUGAAUCAGAUGAGGAGGCCCCACGACAGUGGCAGGUCAGGCCACCUGCUGUUGUCACAGAAAAAGCCGGCGGACUGCCUGAAGAAAAAGGUUGCAAGGAGGAGUCCCUGGAAGACAGCAACAAAGGCUCAGCUGAGGAUGUUCCCCAGCAUUUGAAGGUUACCUGCGCAGACCAGGAGAAUGGAAGCUAUAAGGACAGCAACUUUUCUGAAACCCAUCAUGACAAAGACUCUGCAAGUGGUGGAGAUGCUUCAGCUUCUGGAGCAGAUACGGAAGAGCCCAAGUGUGCAGACGGCCGUCAGCAUGCAAAUGAAAACCGCAGUUUAAACUCUAAGUUUCAACCAGAAUCUAACAGCUCCUGGAUUUCCCGUGGCUCACACUCUUCAGAAACAACUCACAAAGAGCCUGAGGAAGCAGCUCUCCCUUAUCAGUGGGCCAGUUUAUUUGUCCAUCCCUGGGACUAGUAAUUCUGUAGUUACUGGAGGUAGUAGAAGGCACACACAUCAUGCCAUUUCCCUCAAGUACUUGGAUAACUGAGAAAGAAAUGGCAGAAAAUUGUGAGUGGUAUUUCCAGCUCCUAACAGAGUAAGUUAUGCUUUUCCCUUAGACGUCCUAUGAAAGGGAAUAAGGAGUCCUUUGCGUUUGUACGAUAUCAGUUUAUUUCCAAAGAAACAAUUGCUGUUGACAUCUAAAAACUAUAGAAAAAGUAUAAAAAAUUACUACCAAUAAUGUUUCUGUAUGUUUGUAAGUUUCUUUCCCAUAAUUUUCUUACAUUUAAAUAUUUAAUGUCUUGCGUUUAGAUCAUUCAUGUGGAAAGUUCCUUGGCUCAACAUCAAGUCAUUAAAUAAAAAGCAAACACACCUUUUACCUAGCUCAAGUAUAUUUGUUUUUCAUUGUUUCUAUUUUUUUCUCUUGGUUAAUAGCACCCCAUUUUUUCUGUGCUUGAAACUUGGUCGUCAUUUCUGACCCUUACCUAUUCAUUAUGCCCUUUGUUAGUAACGUACGACUCACGACUGUAGAAUGGGGUUUACUAUUUGGAGGGAGUGUGUGUGCUAUGGAGACAGUCGUUCCAUCCUCACAGAAUUCUAUGAGUGGACUCAAGCAGCGAGAGACGGGAUUGUCACCUUAAGGGAGAUGAGGUUCAGAAGGCCUAAAUCCUGUCAGUACAGCCUCAAGCCUGUGCCUUAAAGAUUUGUUCUUUCUCGUUUAUUUCAUUUACACCAAUUCAAGUUCAAGGUACUAAUUACCACAUCUAAUUCAUUGCCCCAUCGACAGUGUCUCGCUACUCUGUCAUGUUUGAAACCAGCAGAUUAAUCUUGUUACAGUGACUUUUUUGUGUAUAAUAUUCUCUGUUUCCCUAUGUUUCAAAUUAAUAGUUCUUAAGGUACUGUGUCAUCUGGUCCCACGUUAUCUGUCUCUUUUACUUUCCACAUUUUUCUCCCUUCUGUCCCUAAUCCGAAUUAGAACCAUCUUGCCAGUCUUAGGCCAUGUCUUGGGUUAGUUUUUAAUCAUUCUAGACCACAUUAACUGAUCUGAACUCCUAUUAUAGUAAUUGUAUUCCACAGUGUAGUACUUUAUUAUGGACAGAAAUGCACACUUAUCUAGAAGUUGCCUAUUCAGCAGUUUCAAGAACUUGUAAUUAACCAGAGGAGGCAGUUACGUAGACAUAAAAUACAAAGCCAUGUUCUCAGGCAGCCGGGAUGAGUGUUCCAGAGUCCACGGGUUUUCCUCCCAGUGCUGGGCUGUAGACACUUGGACAUGUGCGUAAUCAUUGAUGUGGAUGUGUGGGCGACAGUGCAGCGUUUUGCUAUUUUAAUGUAUUUAGUUAAUGGAUUUCCAGCCCUCAGCCAGUUGGAGGUAGCAAAUUAGGAAUAAGAAAGAGAUAACAGGCCAGGCAUGGUGGCUCAUACCUGUAAUUCUAACAGUUUGGUAGGAUAAGGUAGGGGGAUUGCUUGAGCCCAGGAGUUCAAGACAGCCAGGGAGACCCUGUCUCUACACACACACACACACACACACACACACACACACACACACACAGCAUGGCUAUAGUCCCAGCUACUUGGGAGGCUUAGGCAGGAGGAUCACUUGGGCCUAGGAGGUGGAGGCUACAGUGACAGAGUGAGAACCUAUCUCACAAAAGGAAAAACAGAAGAGAGAUAGCAUCUAUUAGUUUUGAUUUUUGUCAAACUGUGAUUGUUGAUAAGCUUUAUAAAUAGGUCAAUCUGUGGUGACUUAAUUUUGGGCUAAGAUCUUGUUCUGCUACAGUACAGCAACUAUGUGAUAAAUUAAAUGACUAUUGAAAACGAUGUAUUUAGUUUGAAUAUGGUUGAGUCUCACAAAUUGUUGGGGAAUCUUGGUCAGGUCGUUUCACAUGAGAGAAUGGUCAGGAGCCUUCUCAGUGGUAGGUGUGCUGCUUGGUGGUGUAGGCCAUAUGUGGAUAAUCUCCCUGCUUAAAACUUAGUAGAAAAACAAAAGAAAUACUUGGAUAACUGUAAAAUAACUUGAUUGAAGCAGAAUCCUAGUCAUUGAAUCAUGUAGCACCUGCUGAAAGAAGUUCUCAAGUUCUGAUUGAGUUCUAAACAUUUUUGACUAUUGGAAUUCAUCAUGUGUGAGUAAAAACAUAAUUUCUGAUGAUCUAUUUCUAGUCCAUCGCAUAAGAAAGUAUUUAACCUGGACCAGGCAUGAUGGCUCACUCCUGUAAUUGCAGCACCUUGGGAGGCGGAGGCAUGAGGGUUGAUUGAUGCCAGGAGUUUGAGAGCAGCCU